UAAAACCAGCUCUUCGAGUGGUGUCCAUGAUUAUUGAGCUUAAAGCGUUCGUAGCCGGUUUAGUAGGUCCCUGCUUAAAUCCGGCCGCCUAACGGUCGGUCUGGUAGGGAUACCGCUUUACUUGGGAAUGGGAGACGACGACGGUAUUCCGCAGGUAAGGGUGAAAUCUGAUGAUCUGCGGAGGACCACCAGUGGCGUAGGCGGUCGUCGAGAACAUGUCCGACGGUGAGGGACGAAACCCAGGGGAGCGAAUCGGAUUAGAUACCCGAGUAGUCCUGGGCGUAAACGAUGCCCGUUAAGUGUAGCAGCGGCCACGAGCCACUGCUGUGCUGUAGCGAAAGCGAUAAACGGGCCGCUUGGGAAGUACGGUCGCAAGACUG
rnacentral:rRNA from 1 species